rnacentral:rRNA from 1 species
GACGAACGCUGGCGGCGUGCCUAACACAUGCAAGUCGAACGGAGUUGUUCCUUCGGGGACAACUUAGUGGCGAACGGGUGAGUAACGCGUGAGAAACCUGCCUUUCAGUGGGGGACAACAGUUGGAAACGACUGCUAAUACCGCAUAAUGUAUCGAUAGGGCAUCCUAAUGAUACCAAAGCUUUAUGUGCUGAAAGAUGGUCUCGCGUCUGAUUAGCUAGUUGGUGAGGUAACGGCUCACCAAGGCGACGAUCAGUAGCCGGUCUGAGAGGGUGACCGGCCACAUUGGAACUGAGACACGGUCCAAA